rnacentral:rRNA from 1 species
GACGAACGCUGGCGGCGUGCCUAACACAUGCAAGUCGAACGAAGUUUUUAUGGAAUGCGACUUCGGUCAAAUGAAGUUUAAACUUAGUGGCGGACGGGUGAGUAACGCGUGAGGAACCUGCCUUUCAGUGGGGGACAACAGUUGGAAACGACUGCUAAUACCGCAUAACAUCUUCUGGAGGCAUCUCUGGAAGAUCAAAGCUUUAAGUGCUGAAAGAUGGCCUCGCGUCUGAUUAGCUAGUUGGUGAGGUAACGGCCCACCAAGGCGACGAUCAGUAGCCGGACUGAGAGGUUGAUCGGCCACAUUGGGACUGAGAUACGGCCCAGACUCCUACGGGAGGCAGCAGUGGGGAAUAUUGGGCAAUGGACGCAAGUCUGACCCAGCAACGCCGCGUGAAGGAAGAAGGGCUUUCGGGUUGUAAACUUCUUUUAAGUGGGUAAGAGUAGAAGACGGUACCAC